rnacentral:rRNA from 1 species
UAAUAGUUAUGGUCUUGAAAUUUAAAGAACUUGGCGGUAAAUUAAUUUAACCAGAGGAAUUUGUUAUGUAAUAGAUAUUACCCUGUUUAUCUUACCUUAAUUAAAGUUUGUAUACCGCCGUUUAGGAUAUUUUUAGCGAGAUAAUUUUCUUUAUAUAUAAUAUAUUUAAAAUCAGGUAAAAGUGCAGUUUAUAUUAAGGAUUUAAAUGAAUUACAUUUUUUUGAAAAAAGUACGAAUAAAUUAUUGUAAUAUUUUUGGAAGGAGGGUUGGAAGUAAAUUUAUAUUAGUAUGUAUUUUAGAAUGUUUAACACUAAUUUAUGU